GACAUGCGAUAAGUAGUGUGAAUUGCAGAAUUCAGUGAAUCAUCGAAUCUUUGAACGCACAUUGCGCCCCUUGGUAUUCCAUGGGGCAUGCCUGUUCGAGCGUCAUUUGUACCUUCAAGCUUUGCUUGGUGUUGGGUGUUUGUCUCGCCUCUGCGUGUAGACUCGCCUCAAAACAAUUGGCAGCCGGCGUAUUGAUUUCGGAGCGCAGUACAUCUCGCGCUUUGCACUCAUAACGACGACGUCCAAAAGUACAUUUUUACACUCUUGACCUCGGAUCAGGUAGGGAUACCCGCUGAACUUAAGC
rnacentral:misc_RNA from 1 species